rnacentral:rRNA from 1 species
GCACAAGCGGUGGAGCAUGUGGUUAAUUCGAAGCAACGCGAAGAACCUUACCAGGUCUUGACAUCCCCUGACAACCCAAGAGAUUGGGCGUUCCCCCUUCGGGGGACAGGGUGACAGGUGGUGCAUGGUUGUCGUCAGCUCGUGUCGUGAGAUGUUGGGUUAAGUCCCGCAACGAGCGCAACCCUCGCCUCUAGUUGCCAGCAUUCGGUUGGGCACUCUAGAGGGGACUGCCGGCGACAAGUCGGAGGAAGGUGGGGAUGACGUCAAAUCAUCAUGCCCCUUAUGACCUGGGCUACACACGUGCUACAAUGGGCGGUACAAAGGGCUGCGAACCCGCGAGGGGGAGCGAAUCCCAAAAAGCCGCUCUCAGUUCGGAUUGCAGGCUGCAACUCGCCUGCAUGAAGCCGGAAUCGCUAGUAAUCGCGAAUCAGCAUGUCGCGGUGAAUGCGUUCCCGGGCCUU